GUGCUCACGUUGGCAUCACAUAUAUUAAAAUUGAAUGAUACAGAGAUUAGCAUGGACCCUGCACAAAGAUGACACGCAAACUCGUGAAGCAUUCCACAUUUUU
ensembl:snRNA U6 U6 spliceosomal RNA